rnacentral:rRNA from 1 species
AGUGAACGCUGGCGGUAGGCCUAACACAUGCAAGUCGAACGGCAGCACAGUAAGAGCUUGCUCUUACGGGUGGCGAGUGGCGGACGGGUGAGGAAUACAUCGGAAUCUACUUUUUCGUGGGGGAUAACGUAGGGAAACUUACGCUAAUACCGCAUACGACCUACGGGUGAAAGCAGGGGAUCUUCGGACCUUGCGCGAUUGAAUGAGCCGAUGUCGGGUUAGCUAGUUGGCGGGGUAAAGGCCCACCAAGGCGACGAUCCGUAGCUGGUCUGAGAGGAUGAGCAGCAACACUGGAACUGAGACACGGUCCAGACUCCUACGGGAGGCAGCAGUGGGGAAUAUUGGACAAUGGGCGCAAGCCUGAUCCAGCCAUACCGCGUGGGUGAAGAAGGCCUUCGGGUUGUAAAGCCCUUUUGUUGGGGAAGAAAAGCAGCAGGUUAAUACCCCGCUGUUCUGACGGUACCCAAAGAAUAAGCACCGGCUAACUUCGUG